GGGCGGUAAGUAUUCUAGGUGAAACGCUGCAUAUCAGAAAGACAGGUUCGAAUCCUGUACCGUCCA
rnacentral:tRNA from 2 species